GAUUGAAAGAGACUUGACGGGGUAGGUUCCAACCAACCCUACCCUCGAGUGCCGGAUUCAGCAGGACGAAUCAGGUCCCAAAGAUGUGGGCAAGACUGUUCCGAGGGUCGAAACUCUGGUUCAGGAUAAGAUUGGCAGUCUCACUCCAUCGCCCAGGCUGGAGUGCAGUAGCGCCAUCUCGGGUCACUGCAACCUCCGCCUGUUUUCCAACUCCUUAGUUAAGCAUACAGCUCCAGUCAAACCAAACUAGAGGCAUUUUGAUUUCUAUCCUCACGUAUAUUAGUGGAGAAUUUUAAAUCCCCCGAUUAUCACAGAUGAAAACACAAGCUGAUGGUGCACCUGCAGUCCCAGCUACUCCAUUGGCUGAGGCAGGAGGAUUACUUGAGCCGAAGAGUUUGAGUCCAGCCUGAGCAAUAUAGUGAGAACCUGGCUCAAAAACAAAAAGAUUUAAAAAGUUUUCUUGCUAAAAAUAAUUUUUAAAACUUUGAAAACAAUUGAUAAAAUCUAGUCUCUUCAUUUUACACAAAAUAACUAAAUAUCCUGGGUGCUGUGUGAAUUGUAUGAAAAAAUCUCCUUAAUCUGAAUGUUUCCUUUCACUUAAUAAAUGAAGGAUCACCUGGUGAUUUUGAAAUCAGUUUAUUUUGUUCAUUAUUCUUAAUAUUUAAGGAAAACAAUGGAAAAUGGAAAAAAAUUUGUCUUCUGCUACAUCAAAAAAACAUUUUAAUCCAAACCCCACUAAAAAUUGUAACAAGCUCUGCAUGAGUUUGUAAAAAUAAAAACAUGAAAGUUAACAAGCAUUGAGAAUGUCAAAUUAUCACAAAAUCAUAGGGAGGUGGUGGUGGUGAUAUUGCUUCUUGACUUACACUGGGAUUUACAACAUGAUUACUAAUAUACUUAACACUCAAAGAAAUAUCUGAUACAGAGAAUUACUUCUUCAUUGUGGCCUUCCAGAGGGCAAAGACUAUUAUUCAUCUUCGAAUAGUCAAAUUCUAACACAGUAUGUGGAAUAACAGUAGGUGUUAAAUAAACAUUUGUUGUAUUGACAUGUUCCUUUUAUAAUUAAUGAGUUAUUGGUAAUUUAUUAUACAAUAUUUUCUGGUUAUUGUUCAAAAGCAUAUUACAUAUUAUCUAACUUUAGAUAUCAAAUAUUAGAAAAGGCUAGUUUUAAAAACAAUAGUUCUUUCAGUUUUACUUUC